AAACUACUGAUGUCCAAUCUUUUAUAAUUUCAGGUGCUUUAAGAUGAAAAUAGUAUUCUGGGGAAGUUCCAGCGUGCUGGCAUGGCCUCAGGUGGAGGAGGGGAAAAUCCAGGAGAAGGUCUGCCUGCCUUUUUUUUGUCUAGCUGACAAGGGGCACAGUCAGGAAAAUGUGGCUGGAGCUCCUCCGCCCAACUUCAAAAUGGAAAAUAAAGAAGGGUCUGGUCGCAGAAGCAUAAGAAGAUGAAAAACUUGUUUGGUUGCUUGCUUGCUUGAACUGAAGGACUGAUGUUUUUGUCUCCAUUUUUUCCUCCACUCCAUCAUGCAAAGAGUUAUUCCAAAAUCACUUGGCAGCUGCAAGAAAGCUAUUUCCUAACCCUCAAAAUAACUUUUGUUUUGAAUAGUUCCCAACUCCUUAAAAAUGCAUCCACAUGUAUGUAUGUUUUGCAUGGGAAAGAAAACUUAGGGUAGAAAGAAAUACUCAUGGUUAAUGACAAUUAAAAGUCUGUUACAACCAUUAUUAAA